GAUGAACGCUAGCGGGAGGCCUAACACAUGCAAGCCGAGCGGUAUUGUUUCUUCGGAAAUGAGAGAGCGGCGUACGGGUGCGUAACACGUGUUCAACCUGCCUUUAUCUGGGGGAUAGCCUUUCGAAAGGAAGAUUAAUACUCCAUAAUAUAUUGAACGGCAUCGUUUAAUAUUGAAAGCUCCGGCGGAUAGAGAUGGGCACGCGCAAGAUUAGCUAGUUGGUGAGGUAACGGCUCACCAAGGCGAUGAUCUUUAGGGGGCCUGAGAGGGUGAUCCCCCACACUGGUACUGAGACACGGACCAGACUCCUACGGGAGGCAGCAGUGAGGAAUAUUGGUCAAUGGGUGCAAGCCUGAACCAGCCAUCCCGCGUGAAGGACGACUGCCCUAUGGGUUGUAAACUUCUUUUGUAUAGGGAUAAACCUACCCUCGUGAGGGUAGCUGAAGGUACUAUACGAAUAAGCACCGGCUAACUCCGUG
rnacentral:rRNA from 1 species